CUGAUCUUCCUCGCUGAUGUCGAUGAACGCCGGGACGCUCAUGGCGAAGGCUGGAGCACUUAGAACACUCAGCCCUCAAACCACGCCGACCGGAAAAAGGAGCUAGGCCGCGCGCCGGCGCCUCACAACCGCUUCCGGUACAGCUGUGAGUUUCUGGAUGAUGGUUGAUGAAUGAAAGCAAAAUUUAUGAGAACUGCUGAGUUCAGAGGAAAUGAGCACUCUUUUAUUUAAAUUUCCUGAGAUUAGAGGAAGAACAUAUUGCCAAACAAUGCCUCUUCACUUCAAAACUUCUCCCCAUAAAUUAUUUGAAGAUAUCUUAUUAAAAGUCUGUAAAAUUUCCUAUUAAGAAUGGUUGAUUGCAGUCCAGAUCAUCAUAGCUUUGGUGCUUUCCCUGAAAUACCACAGCUGUCGGGAAGAAAUAUAUUUUGAGACAAAAGGUUUUGUUUCCCCAGCAAUAAAUUAUUUUAGUGAUAUCUCAAGAUAGAUAAAACUUUCACUUAUGUUUGAGUGAAGGAAGAUCCUACUGAUAACUUGUUAAAAAAUCUAUAAAAAGAAUAUGAGAAUGUAGAUGUAGAUAGCAAAUUAAAAUCAGACUUCCUUUAAGUUUAGCAAAGCAAUUAUUUCUAAAGCCAGUGAAGAUUAUUAUUAUGGAUAAUGAAAUGAUUUACUGGAAUACGUGGAAUGACAUUCAGUAUGGCCACAUCUCUGCACAACCUCAAGUUGGUAUUUUCAACUUUAACCUUGGAGCCAUUAAGGAAAAAAAAAACUUACCUCUAGUAAUAUUUUAUGUAAAUUGCCAAACAAAAACCCUGCCUAUGGUGAUAUGGAUCCUGAAUGAGGUAGGAAAUGCCUUGUUUGUAGCGCUGAUGUAAUAAUCCGUUGAUUCCACUGUAGAUGAGCUCUUUAAAACAAAGCUGCUCUCCCUAAUACUUUUGGGUCACCCUCCAUCCCCUGCUUCCUCCUAUCCCUAAACAAGGAAGAUCUUCCUUGCUAUAGUCAUAAGAAAAUAUAUUUUGUCCAAGACAUUCAUUUUCAGAGUUGCAAAUAUCCUUUUAUCCACUGGAAGUAAUGAUGUACAUUGAGCAAGUUGCUAAAGUCUUCUAAUUUUAUUUAUUUCCCGUGAGCCUUUUCAGGGAACACUGGGCUCAUAAAACAUUUUGUAGGCCAGCAGAACUUUUUGUUUUGUUAUGUUUUGUUUUCAACUCUGGUGUAAAGCCAGUGAGAAAACUUUGUUACAUCUUCACCAUUUCCAGAGUGAUGUUAAUUAAGAAAGAGCCAGUCCAUUUCUCAUCUAGUCUCUGAAAGCAAUGCUGCUGACUUCUGGCAAAGGCAGAUCCUUACUAUUUAAGUGAUGGAUAUUAACAGUGGAUAGAGUUGGCGGGUUUGAGACUUCACAUAGCUCAGUAAUGAUAUAACUCACCAACUCUGAUGAUAACAGCAAACUGGUACAAAAUGCUACUAAACACUCAUAAAGCAAUAAUAACUUUAAAUGUGUGAUAAGAUAAUCCUAAUGUCCAUUCAUUUAUUUUUCAUUUAGAGCUGAUGAGGAGAUUGUGUUAACAUACAUUUUUUUGAAAUUAAAAUCUGAGGGUCCUUUGUAAUUUUUUAACAUAAAAAAAUACGUAUCUCAAAAAUACAUACUUGCCCUCUCAUAGGGUACCUGAAAUUUAAAAAAUGAUACAACUCCCUGGGGACUAGAGUGAAUAUUAUUAGCAGUUUUAUAUUUGAACGGCCUCAUUUUGCCUCGAAUAAAGAAUCUGCGCACAGUAAGUACAUGCUGCCUUCGCAGCCUGCUGUUGUUAAGAGAACAUUAAUCAUUUUAACAAGGUCACAAGCAACAAAGGCCAAUGAGGGUUCAAAGUUUACAGGUCCAGGCAUUUAUCAGGUAGAAAUAAGCUACAUUUCAAUAUUUUAUAAAAUACCCUUUUAUGAAAAAGCUAUCAGUCAUUGUAUAACCUGGCAAAACUCUGGUUAUUCCAGUGAACAAAAUGAAUGAUGACAAUGAAUCAAGAACCCCUUUAUGAGUUUACAUUUUUGCAGGACCACCAUGGCUUGAACACACAUUUUCAGUUUCUAUAAGGAUGUGAUCAUGAUGUGGGAAUGGCUUCCUCCCUCCGGCAAAAGCAAGAGAUAUAUUAAAAUUGCCUCUGCUUAUGAUAGGCAAAACUAGGAUCGAUUGGUUAAGGAAAUCACUGAGCUGGUAUCACCACAUACCAUGCAAAUUACCAUUUUCCACUGACUUUUGUGAUACUUUAGAUUAUUUUUAUGAGAGAUGUAUAAAACAGUGCUUUGGUUUGUAUUCUACCAUUUGAUGGUGUUUUAAACAUGAAGCUAGGUGCAUUGCAUUUCUGAUCUAAGUUUUAGAUUGGAUAUUUUCCCCAUUUGUUGUUGAUUUCACAUACGCCUUUUCUCAUUCAUUUGAAAUCUUGACUUUAGGGACUUCCAAUCUUUCAAUUUCAGAGAAGAAACAAAUGUUCCUUUUCCCAAUGUGUGUGACCUUGCAUUCAAUCAGAGAACAGCCCUUUAGUAUCUGAGUUUAUAUUUUAGCAGCUUCAUUGAGAUAUAAUUCACAUGCCAAACAAUUCACCCAUUUAAGGUGUGCAAUUCCAUGGUGUUUAGUAUAUUCACAGAGUUGUGUAACCCUCACUGCAAUCAGUUUUACAACAGUUCAGCACUGCAAAAGGAAACUGUACUCACUAGCAGUCAAUCCCUAUUUUCUCCCAAACACCCCCAGCCCUAGGCAACCACUAUUCUCCUUUUUGUUUCUAUAAAUUUGACUAUUCUGUAUGUUUCAUAUAAAUGGAAUCAUACGAUAUGUAGCAGUUUGUGACUGACUUCUUUCACUCAGCAUAAUGUCUUCAAGGUUCAUUCAUGUCGUAGCAUGUAUUCGUACUUCAUUCCUUUUCAUGGUCAAAUAAUAUUCCAUUUUAGGGAUAUACUACAUUUUGUCUAUUCAUUCAUCAGUUGACAGAAAUUUGGGUUACUUCCACUUUUUGGCUAUGGUGCAUACCGCUGCUGUUAACAUUUGCGUGCAAAGUUUUGUAUGGACAUGUGUUUUAAUUUCUCUUAGGUAUAUUCCAGGAAUGGAAUUUCUGGGUCAUAUGGUAACUCUAUGUUUAACAUUUUGUAGAACUGCCGAACUGUUUUCCAAAAUGGUUGCACCAUUUUUGCAUUCCUACAAGCAAUGUAUGAGAGUUCCAGUAUCGCCACAUACUUUCUCAAACUUGUUAUUACAGUCUUUUUGAUUUUAGCCUGUCUGAGUUUAAUUUGUACCAUUGUUACAAUGCCAGAAUUAGACACUGAAAAAGUAUUACGUUAAAAAAGUAUUUACUUAGUAGAAAAAAUAUUUAAUUAAAUAAUAAGACUAAAAAAGUGUUUAA